GUCUGGGUGAUCAGGGACGUAAACCAGCCAUGGCAAGGUGGUGAAGCACCACCAUGGAAGGGCACCAGCCGGGCCCUGGGGUCACAGAAGUGUCCCAGGAAGUGCAGCUGUUAAGCCUGGUGAGAGGAGAGCGAGCCAGGAGGACGGCGAGAGACAGGCAUGACGGGGCGCUGCCAGCAUGCUCCCCAUCCGCCUCCUGCACACGUGUGACCCAUGACUGCCCACUGCCCCUGGAGUCGAGCCCAGGCUCCGCAGGAUGGCAGUGGGUGGGCCUCAUCACCCGGCACACCUGCCUCCCCACUGUCCUCGCCAGCAUCUCCUCCCAGAGCACACCAGACUGCCCCAUGCAUCCAAUCCACAGGCGCACUCAAACGGCCACUAAGCCAGGUUCCGCCUUAGAUCUUCACUGAGAAGAUGCUCACAAGAGGAGCUGAUGCUUCGGUGGGGAGCAAGGUGGAAAAGAAACCCUCAUGGGACUGGAUCGAGGUGAGUGCCUGGAUUCCAGAUGUACAGGUGCAGGGUCUCCAGUCCAGCCUGAGGCCAGAGGUCAGGGCUUGGAAAGUCAGGAGGGGUUUCCUAGAGGAUUUGAUGUCAGGACCAAGGGCAUCAGGAUGGGUAGGAAGUGGUCGCUGAAGAGGAGAAGAAGGCCUGCUUUGGGCCCUGUGCCUUUUCCCAUACUGCUUCAGCCUGGGACACCUGACACCGCCUUGGCCUGGCUGCCCUGCAGAGCGGGCGGGCAAGUCGCUUCUCUGUGGAGUCCUUCCCGGUACCCACUCUGCCCCUCCACGUGCUGAGCUGUGGUGGACACCUCCUCUUCUUGGCUCCAGGGCACUCUCCCAGCCCUUGUGAGUGUCUCAUCCCCGCGUGUUCACUGACCUCCCCCGUUAUGUGUGAGUCUUUCUCUCUUGGCGUCCCCUGAAGCCUCACACACAUGAGCACACGCCCGGCACUCAGCAGCACCAUGGAAUGUGAGUCUGCGUUGAGCCACUAGCUUUAUUCUUACAAGUGCUGUAUUAUUCAGAGCAGAGAGAAGUCGCCCUGGCCACAGGCACUGGUCCCAUCUUCAAGGAGAACUCUGAGAAGCUGAUACGUGUCCCAGGGUGAGCUACCACUGGGGGAAAAGGGAGGAACCUUACCCACUGUCGGGUAAGAACUGCUGGACAGAGCCUGGAGAGGAGAGGAUGCCGCAUGGGGCAUGAGGGGACCUGCUGCUGCCAGAGGCACCAAUACCUGGGCACAUGGAGAGGGGCUGCUGCUCUAGACUCUCACAAACGUAGAGAGAAUAAAGGGGUUAGUGGGGGCAGUUACAUGGAGGCAUCUUUCAGACCUAAGGAAAAGCUUUCUGGGGAUAGCAAUUUUCCCACCUGUGGGCGAUUGCCUUGACCUCCCUACAAUGGUCACAUUCAAGGCCUUGCACACCUGCCACUGCUCAGGAUGUCAUCCCUUGUAGGCCUCUCAUCCUGCAUGGGAAAUUAGGCCAGAUAACCUCUAUGAUGCUGUGCAAAUCUAGGCGUCUACAAGCCUAAACGUUGAUCUCAGCCUGACUCUCACCCUGCCUCGGGCCCUGUGGUAGCACAGCUGUGCUAUCUUCAUGCCCGGGUUGCAUCCCAGGCAGCUACGCACCCUGUGCAUGGCUAUACCACCUCAAAGGAUCCUUCACUUCCUCAGCAGAGCUGGGGUUGGGAGAGCAGCGGCUUUCCUGGGAUGCUCUGCUGCUCCUCAGCAGGGCCAGGCUUUGAAUCCCACCCACACAUCUAUGGUCUGGAAAGACACACCAGAAUUUGUCAAAAGACCGUUUCCCAUAUUCCAGGGAUUAUUUCCCUCCUUCUCCUUCCUUUACCCUUGGAUCCUCUCCAGAAUCAAGUGGAUCUGACUCCCUGCGUCCCCCAGGGAGUCACUAUGAAGUCGGAAUUGGACUCGGACAAAGGACAGCUCUGGACCAAGUCCCCAGUAGCUCUUGUGGACCUUGGAGCAGGGAGAGAGGCCAUGAAUAAACCUGAUCCCCUUACAGUGGAUGCUUGGGGGCUGCCAUAACAAAGGACCACAGACCAGAUGCUUCAAUCACAGAAAGGUCUUGUCCGCAGUCCUGGAGGCUGGAAGUCCAAGGUUGAGGUGCUGGCAGGGUUGGUUCCUUCCAGAGGACUGUGGGGAGGGGCUGUUUCAGGCCUCUCUCCUGGGCCUGUGGACGCUGUCUUCUCCCUGUGUCUUCACACUGUCUUCCCACUGGGCAUGUGUGUCCACGUGUCCCACUCUAACAAGGUUAUAUUGGCUGAAGGCCCACUCUCAUGACCUCGUUUUAGCUUGAUUAUCCCUGUAAAGACUCUAUCUCCAAAUCAGGUCAUGUUCUGAGGUCCUGGUGGGGAGGACUUCAACAUAUGAGGUUUUGGAGGUGGGGGGACACAAUUCAACCAUAAUAGGGUCAUGUGGCUUUUUCUGACUGCCCAUCAUCUGCACCCCAAGAUGUGAGCUUGGGUGAGAAGCUGAGAAGCUCGACACCUCCCAGCUGCUCUGCAAUAAUGAAUGGCGAAGGUUUGUGCAGCACUUUGGCUGCAGACAGACGC
rnacentral:lncRNA from 1 species